rnacentral:rRNA from 1 species
UGGGGAAUAUUGCACAAUGGGCGAAAGCCUGAUGCAGCGACGCCGCGUGAGGGAUGACGGCCUUCGGGUUGUAAACCUCUUUCAGUAGGGACGAAGCGCAAGUGACGGUACCUGCAGAAGAAGCACCGGCUAACUACGUGCCAGCAGCCGCGGUAAUACGUAGGGUGCGAGCGUUGUCCGGAAUUACUGGGCGUAAAGAGCUCGUAGGCGGUUUGUCACGUCGUCUGUGAAAUCCUAGGGCUUAACCCUGGACGUGCAGGCGAUACGGGCUGACUUGAGUACUACAGGAGAGACUGGAAUUUCUGGUGUAGCGGUGGAAUGCACAGAUAUCAGGAAGAACACCGAUGGCGAAGGCAGGUCUCUGGGUAGUAACUGACGCUGAGGAGCGAAAGCAUGGGUAGCGAACAGG